CCUACGGGAGGCAGCAGUGAGGAAUAUUGGUCAAUGGGCGUAAGCCUGAACCAGCCAAGUCGCGUGAGGGAUGAAGGUUCUAUGGAUCGUAAACCUCUUUUAUAAGGGAAUAAAGUGCGGGACGUGUCCCGUUUUGUAUGUACCUUAUGAAUAAGGAUCGGCUAACUCCGUGCCAGCAGCCGCGGUAAUACGGAGGAUCCGAGCGUUAUCCGGAUUUAUUGGGUUUAAAGGGUGCGUAGGCGGCCUUUUAAGUCAGCGGUGAAAGUCUGUGGCUCAACCAUAGAAUUGCCGUUGAAACUGGGAGUCUUGAGUAUGUUUGAGGCAGGCGGAAUGCGUGGUGUAGCGGUGGAAUGCUUAGAUAUCACGCAGAACCCCGAUUGCGAAGGCAGCCUGCCAAGCCAUGACUGACGCUGAUGCACGAAAGCGUGGGUAUCGAACAGGAUUAGAUACCCCAGUAGUC
rnacentral:rRNA from 1 species